CCAGACUCCUACGGGAGGCAGCAGUGGGGAAUAUUGCACAAUGGGGGAAACCCUGAUGCAGCGACGCCGCGUGAGUGAAGAAGUAUUUCGGUAUGUAAAGCUCUAUCAGCAGGGAAGAAAAUGACGGUACCUGAUUAAGAAGCCCCGGCUGACUACGUGCCAGCAGCCGCGGUAAUACGUAGGGGGCAAGCGUUAUCCGGAUUUACUGGGUGUAAAGGGAGCGCAGGCGGCGCGGCAAGUCUGAUGUGAAAGCCCGGGGCUCAACCCCGGGCCUGCAUUGGAAACUGUCGAGCUAGAGUGUCGGAGGGGUAAGCGGAAUUCCUAGUGUAGCGGUGAAAUGCGUAGAUAUUAGGAGGAACACCAGUGGCGAAGGCGGCUUACUGGACGAUGACUGACGCUGAGGCUCGAAAGCGUGGGGAGCAAACAGGAUUAGAUACCCUAGUAU
rnacentral:rRNA from 1 species